rnacentral:rRNA from 1 species
CAUGUCCUUAAGAUAAUAAUUUUAGGUUUAAUCUGCUCAAUGAUUAUUAAAUAGCCGUGGUAUUUUGACUGUGCAAAGGUAGCAUAAUAAUUAGUUUUUUUAUUGGAAGCUGGAAUGAAUGAUUGGACAAAAGAUUUUCUGUCUCUCUUAUAUUUAUUUUGAAUUUUACUUUUGAGUUAAAAGGCUUAAAUUUUUUUUAAAGACGAGAAGACCCUAUAGAGUUUUACAUAUUUUAUUUUAAAAGUUUUUUGGAAUUAGUUAAUUUUUAAUUUGAUUUUGUUUUAUUGGGGUGAUUGGAAGAUUUAAAUAACUCUUCUAUUUUCAUAUUACUGGUUAGUAAAUUUUGUUUCUAUAAUUUUAAGUUUAAACUAAAUUACCUUAGGGAUAACAGCGUUAUUUUUCUUUGAAGUUCUUAUUUUGAGAGAAGUUUGCGACCUCGAUGUUGGAUUAAAAUUUAUGUUGGGUGUAGUAGCUCAUACAUUUAAGUCUGUUCGACUUUUAAAAUUUUACAUGAUCUGAGU